rnacentral:rRNA from 1 species
UACGUAGGGUGCCAGCGUUAAUCGGAAUUACUGGGCGUAAAGCGUGCGUAGACGGUUAUUUAAGACGGGUGUGAAAGCCCCGGGCUCAACCUGGGAAUUGCAUUCGAGACUGAAUAGCUAGGGUACGGUAGAGGGAAGUGGAAUUUCCGGUGUAGCGGUGAAAUGCGUAGAUAUCGGAAGGAACAUCAGUGGCGAAAGCGACUUCCUGGACCAGUACCGACGUUCAGGCACGAAAGCGUGGGGAGCAAACAGG